UGAUAGCUCAGUCGGUAGAACAUGAGACUCUUAAUCUCAGGGCUGUGAGUUUGAGUCCAAUGUUUGGCAAAA